UACGACUACAUAUCAGGCAUAUCAAUAAGCGGAGGAAAAGAAACUAACUAGGAUUCCCUCAGUAACGGCGAGUGAAGCGGGAAGAGCUCAAAUUUGAAAUCUUCAAGGUUCUACCUUGACGAAUUGUAGUUUAAAGAAGUGUUUUCUGUUGGAGUUUUGGUAAAAGUUCUUUGGAAUAGGACAUCAUAGAGGGUGAGAAUCCCGUAUUUGACCAUUAUUUCCAGCUUUGUGAUACACUUUCAAAGAGUCGGAUUGUUUGGGAAUGCAGUCCAAAAUGGGUGGUAAAUUUCAUCUAAAGCUAAAUAUUGGCGAGAGACCGAUAGCGAACAAGUACCGUGAGGGAAAGAUGAAAAGAACUUUGAAAAGAGAGUUAAACAGUACGUGAAAUUGUCAAAAGGGAAGCGUUUGACACCAGUGUUGUUUUCUCGAAAAUCAAUUAAAAAAGGCAGGAUUUUGUGUUGUAUUGACUUUAUCAGCUUUCUGCACUCUUUUCUUGUCUUUUCUAAUGCACUUUUCGUUUAACAAGUCAACAUCAAUUUCUUUUGUUGUAAAAGGGUCAUUGGAAGGUGGCUUUCUUUUCGGAGAAAGUGUUUAUAGCCUUUGGCCUCUGCAAUCGGAGAGAUUGAGGUCUGCAGCGUAGAUCCUUCGGGGUUAGAUACAUUUGUGCUAAGUUAUAGCCUUUCAUAGACAACUUGUUGACUAUGAUCAGUCAUGUAGCUUACUCGCUUAUGCUAUUUUACCUACGCUUAGGAUGUUGAGCGCAUGUCUCUCUCU
rnacentral:rRNA from 1 species